rnacentral:misc_RNA from 1 species
AAGACUAUAGACCUGCGGAGUACCUGCGGAAGGAUCAUUACCGAGUUUUCAACUCCCAAACCCCAUGUGAACUUAUACCAUUUACAACCGUUGCUUCGGCGGGUUCUCGCCCCGGGCUUUACACCCCGGAACCAGGCGGCCCGCCGGGGGACCCAAACUCUAGAUUUAUAUUUUAGCAUGUCUGAGUGGAAUCAUUACAAAAUGAAUCAAAACUUUUAGCAAUGGAUCUCUAGAUCGGAA